rnacentral:rRNA from 1 species
AGACGUCUACAUUAGAUACCCGCGUAGUCCCAGCCGUAAACUAUGCGCGUUAGGUGUAUCGGUGACCACGAGUCACCGAGGGUGCCGAAGGGAAACCGUGAAACGUGCCGCCUGGGAAGUACGGUCGCAAGGCUGAAACUUAAAGGGAAUUGGCGGGGAGCACCACAACGGGUGGAGCCUGCGGUUUAAUUGGACUCAACGCCGGGAAGCUCACCGGAUAAGACAGCGGAAUGAUUGCCGGGCUGAAGACUCUGCAUGACUAGCUG